AUUAUUAACAUGUUUGCUUUGUGCGUAGGAACUAAAACAUUCUAAUGUGCUUUUUUUUCUUAUGCAGCAUUACCACCACAAGUUUCAUGUAACUGCACGUCUCAGCCGGAUGAAAAGCUGCAACCCGAGUUGCGGCGUACUGUUAAUGACCAUGCAAACAGUUGGCAUGUUGCAGUGGUUGGCUGCGCUGUCAUUAUGUUUGCCACAGGCGUGUUUUGUACCUCGGGCCUUUUCUAUGUCUACUUCAUGGAGGCGUUCUGCGUCAGCCACGAAGCCGCUUCGUGGCCAGCCAGUGCAAUGGGCGUGACACUUAACUGCUCAGGUCUCGUCGUUUCUUUGCUCCAGCGCUUCCUGAGCAUUUUCCAAAUUUCCCUGCUUGGCAGCAUUCUUCUCUGGACAAGUCUCAUGCUGUCGGCAUUUGCGCCUAACGUGGGGGUCAUGACUGUACUCUUUGGAGCUCUUCACGGCUUGGGAAUCGGAUUCAUGGAGAAUACGAUGGCGGUGACUGUAGCGACCUCGUUCCUGGAACAUCAGUCUUUCGCAAUGGGUUUGAAAGACGGCGGGCGCACCUUGGCUGUUCUUGUUUUCCCCUCCCUUGUAUCCCGUUUAAAUUCAGUAUACGGCGUCCGCAGCACGCUAGCACUUUGUGGAGCGCUUCUUAUGCACGUAACCGUGCUAGUGUUAGCGCUGCGGCGGUGCCCGGCUAUGGGACGACAGCAUUUUGGCCCCACUAAUACCGAAACUACGUGUGCCGUGACACCUAGGUCAAUGGAAAGCAGGCGCCAUUGCAAAGAAUCAUUCCAUGGCAACACGAGCACAACAAACGUAGCAACUAUGAAUUAUAAGUCCUGUAAAAACUUUGAGAGAGCAUCCACACGCCAGGAAAAUAACGUUGUGCUGUUUGAAAUGGCUAAGCCGAUUCCACAUAGCGAAAUAAACAUAUACGCUCAGAAGAAAGACACUGGUGGCGCCCCAUCAGCACCAGCAAACACUACCCCAAAAGGCAGCAUGAAUCCCGUAGAGCAACUUCAUG